rnacentral:rRNA from 1 species
UACGAAGGGGGCUAGCGUUGCUCGGAUUUAUUGGGCGUAAAGGGCGCGUAGGCGGCCACGCACGUCCGUUGUGAAAUCGCCCGGCUCAACUGGGCUAGGUCAGCGGAUACGGUGUGGCUCGAGCAAGCUAGGGGGCAAUGGAAUUCCCGGUGUAGUGGUGGAAUGCGUAGAUAUCGGGAGGAACACCAGUGGCGAAGGCGGUUGCCUGGAGCUUUGCUGACGCUGAUGCGCGAAAGCGUGGGGAGCGAUCCGG